ACUCAUGUGUAAUUAUUAUGUGGCACCACUGGACAAAUUUAAAAAUCCAGGACACAUGAUGGAAUGUUUUUUUCCCCUAUCUUGAACAUUUCUAUUUCAUCAACUUAGGAAUUAUUUCAUUAUUACUCAUCAAUUAUUCCCAACAAUGCUACCAAUGACUAACAUAAUAAGAAAGAAUAGAAAAAUUAUAGAGUUGCCUAGAAGGAUGAUGCAAUUGCAAAAUAAACCAUCAUUACAUCAUCAUCAUUCAGUUUUCUUAUUGUUGUGACUAAAGUAGUGCAUCAUCACUUGAGAAGAUAUAAAAGAAGUCUAGAAACAUUCUUAUGGUCUACUUUUAGUUUCACUGAACACAGUUUAGAAUUUAAAAGUUCUAUUUUUCAUCUAUAACUGCAAAGAGAAGAAAACUGACAGAGGAAGAUAGUUCAGUUAUUAGAUGAAUCAGAAGACAAAUGCAAAAAGAGAGAUAACACUAUGCUAAACUUUAAUGAUUAAGGUGAAAUUGAAAUUGAUCAUUCAAAUGAAAUCUCAGACCGUGAAUAUUCAAAUAACAAUGAAUUUUCUCAAGAAUCAAUGAGUGAAAAACUCAUUUCAAAGGACAAAAAGGAAAUAUGGUAUUCUCAUCCAAUCCUCCAACCAGAAGGACUUUAUCAUGCAAUCUUUUGUGGCAAGAACCUAGUCUAUCUCAUUUUCUUAGAAGGGUAUCUUUUCAUCUUUUAUAAAAAUCUAUGUGCCAAAAUUUGUAGUUUUUAAGUGGACAAAUGCUAAAGAAAGGUAAAGGCAGGUAUCAGAAUGAAAUCAAUAAUGUAUAAAUAAAAAGUCAUUGGAUUUAUCAUUCUAAAUAAUAAAUAAUGUUUAUUAACCUAAAAAAUGUCUCACAGCUAUGGGAUGGAGAUGAUAUUGGUUUUUCGAUGAAAUUAUGAGCCUCAAAGAUUUCAAAAACUCGCCUGCUGCGUUUUGAUGAUGCAAAUUCUAAAAGAACCAAAAGUAAUAUUAUGCUAGAACCUAUUAAAGAUGUGUUUGAAAUCUGGAAUUAGUAUCUAUUAGAUGCAUAUAUUGCAGGUUUAUACAUGGUAAUUGAUGAGCAGUUAGUUCCUUUCUGAAGAUGUUUCCAAUUUGGAGUAGAUACACCUUCAAAAUCAGAAAACUGAUGAAAUAAACUUUUAGCUUUGCUAUGUUUAAGUUCUUAUCACAAUUUUCAGUCUCCCUUUAUUCUUACUUCUAUAAACCCUUUUUUAAAUGAUUUAAAAUAUUAAAGAACAUUAAGAGGUCCAAGUGGUAAGUGGAGAUAACUAUUGUUCCUAGUAUACUGAGAUUAGCAUGUACAUUUUCUAAGCCUCUGUUGCAUCAUUAUCAACUUAUCCUUGGUUAUAAAGUUAUUUAUGCCAUGUCUUAUCUCUUUUCUGGACUACCAGCUUGCUGAGGGGAUUCAACAAAUAUUUAUGGAGUUAACAUAAAAACUCCCAAAGCUUUUACUUUGUGAAAAUAAUUAGACGUUUGGAACUAAAGUGAGUAUGUUUUCAUGGAACAGUAUUUUUUAGAGAAAAGUGAAGCAAGGCUGAAUCUUACCUAGUCUUUUCCAUUAUAGCCAAUUGAGCCCUGAAAUACAUUAGAUUAAACCAUUAAAUAACAGUGACUAUAAUGCAAUUACAUUUGACCUCUUCUCAGCGGGAUCAAACCAAAAACACAGGCACAACUGAAGUUCAAGAAAAGGCUCUUAAUAAAAUGAGAGUACUAACUUAUUCCUUGAGGCUCUUUCUGGCUGUGGACUUAAAACCCAUAGAAUUAGAAUACAAGCUGCCAAAGAAUACCUUAUUAUAGUCAGAGAAGAUUUGGGAUAGGUGAAUACCUUCAAUUUUAAGAGAGUAAAUGACACAGAAAGUGGAAUAAAUUACCUUGACGUAAAUUCUUGGCUCAAGCAAAAGUCAGACAGCAGCUGGAAUUUCAAUGUUUGGAAUAACUCCUAAGGGAUAAACUUUAACUUGUAUUGAACUUUAAUCAUAAUGGCUUUAUGAUUAUGAUUUUUUUUUUAUACAGAGAUGAAAAGGUGAAGAAAGUGUUAAAAUGACUAAGCAAAAGUAUACAAGGCCUGGUUCCUGUACUGGAAGGACUGAUUCCCUUAACUGUGGAGCAGGGAUGGAUGCCAUUCAGCUGCUGCCUUGUCCAUGUCCCCUGUGGAGUGGCAGCUGAGGGAAAAUGCAUUCUGGGUGCAGAAUAUCAACAGAAUUAUGAGCAUGGGGCAUGUGUAGUCUGCUGCUCUACAGUAAAUUCAUAUUAGCUCUACUCUCUCUGCCUGCCAAAAUUCUGAGAUAGUUGUUGAAAAGAAGAAGCUGAAGAAGGAGGAAGAGGAGAAGGAAGAAGAGGAAGAGGUGAAAGAGGCAGAGGAGGAGGCAGUGGAGGGAGAAGAAAAGAAAGAAUGAGCAUAGCAGUGAGGUUUGGUUUUUUUCCCUUCCGCAUAGAUUCGCCACAGACCACAGAAAAUCAGAGAGCAAUGCCUGGUCCUGCCAACCUUUCUUACCCUACUUUAAAUAGAUUAAGAUUGGUCCAUAAAAGCUAGAUUACGUGGUAUAUAAGUGUGUAUAUAAGUUUAUGGUAAGCAUGUGCAUACCUGUGCAUCUGAUUCCCAAUGCUUUUUGUGGAAAUAGAUUGUUUAUAAAUAUAUAAUAUUAAGAGUAAUUACAUGUGAACAUAUUUUCAUGUAUGCUAUAUAAUUUAAAAAUUGCCAAGAAGUGUAUGUGCUCCAUGUAAAAAUCUGUUUCCAGUGAAAGACCUGUAGGCCUUAUUUAUCUACAAAGAACUAUUUAGAAAUCUAUUUGAAAAGGACUCAAAUUCGUUAAGAUUAACUUAAGCUAAGCAAAUAAAUAAUCCCUUGCUCAAAGGAGAAUUUACGCAACUAUUUUAGUAAAUCAUCAAUACAAAAGUCUCAAAAUCAGAGCCACCUCACAAAUAGGUUAUUUAAAAAACACUACAUCUUUAUCAUGUUUAGUCAAAACCAUAAUGUGAUUUCAUUUUUGUAUAAAUAAAUAUUCUUGAAUCUUUGCUUAAUUAAAAAAAAUAAUAUACUUAUGUGUCUGACCAGGAAUUAGAAGUAAAGUUUUGAUUAUUUACCUAAUGAUACAGUUAUUUAAUUGAAGGUAGCUGUCUUAAUAGGGAGCCUUACUUUAGCCAAUGCAUUUACUUAGCUGAUAAAAAUCACAUUUGUGCUUUUGUUUCUAACUUUAAGUGAUAUUCGAAUGUCUUUUUAACAGAUAAAUAGCUCUUUAUGUGGAAAUGAAAACUGUAGAUUGAAAAUGAAAAUGGUAAUAGAAUGCUAUCUUUAAGAAUUCUGAUUACUGAUAUGAAUGAAAUACAAUAUAUGUGGCCUAGAAAAUAAAUAUUAUUUUAAAAUGUUCCAGUGAUGUUUUAUGUCAAUGAACUGUGCCUCCCCCCCACAAAAAAACCCAAGAUACUAAAAAUGGGCAUCAAAAAGUUUAUUCAUGUUCCUAGUUGCUAGAUAAGUAUUUUGAUACUCCCAUAUAUACAUGGCAUGAAUUUUUAUAUACUGUAUUUAUGGACAAAAAAUAAAAAUAUGUUAGUACGUUU